AUUUUGUAGGUUUGGUGGCAAAUUGUCGGCAUUCCAUUGAUUCACUGGAUGUUGCGUUGGGAUGACUUCUGGCUGCUUACUUAGUUGCUGACAUACAUAUGUAAAUUUAUUA
rnacentral:sRNA from 1 species